AACGAACGCUGGCGGCAGGCCUAACACAUGCAAGUCGAACGCCCCGCAAGGGGAGUGGCAGACGGGUGAGUAACACGUGGGAAUCUUCCUCGUAGUACGGAACAACUCAGGGAAACUUGAGCUAAUACCGUAUACGCCCUUCGGGGGAAAGAUUUAUCGCUAUGAGAUGAGCCCGCGUCCGAUUAGCUAGUUGGUGAGGUAAUGGCUCACCAAGGCUACGCUCGGGAACUGGUCUGAGAGGAUGAUCAGCCACAUUGGGACUGAGACACGGCCCAAACUCCUACGGGAGGCAGCAGUGGGGAAUAUUGGACAAUGGGCGCAAGCCUGAUCCAGCCAUGCCGCGUGAGUGACGAAGGCCUUAGGGUUGUAAAGCUCUUUUGGCGGGGAAGAUAAUGACGGUACCCGCAGAAUAAGCUCCGGCUAACUUCGUGCCAGCCGCCGCCGUAA
rnacentral:rRNA from 1 species